UACGGGGGGGGCAAGCGUUGUUCGGAAUUACUGGGCGUAAAGGGCUCGUAGGUGGCCAACUAAGUCAGACGUGAAAUCCCUCAGCUUAACUGGGGAACUGCGUCUGAUACUGGAUGGCUUGAGUUUGGGAGAGGGACGCGGAAUUCCAGGUGUAGCGGUGAAAUGCGUAGAUAUCUGGAGGAACACCGGUGGCGAAGGCGGCGUCCUGGACCAACACUGACACUGAUGAGCGAAAGCGUGGGGAGCGAACAGG
rnacentral:rRNA from 1 species